GCCGCUCUCACCAUCAUCAUCUCCGUGCUUCUCAUCAUCGUCUUCGCUGUGCUCACAUCAUUGAAUAGUUUGAACGGUUUCUUGGUUAGCCAGAAACAGAAAUGGUGUGAAGAAUGUAAAGAAUGAAAAGAAGACAAGGAGUAGAGAAGAAGUAGAAGAGGAAGAAGAAAGGUGAGCUGAAUUAAAUUUCUUCAAAAGACAAAGAAGAAAUACAACUAUUAUUGAAGUCAACUUGCUCUUCUGAAACAACACCCAACUCUUCUGAAACAGAAAUGGUGUGAAGAAUAUAAAGAAUGAAAAGAAGACAAGGAGUAGAGAAGAAG